UACGGAGGAUCCGAGCGUUAUCCGGAUUUAUUGGGUUUAAAGGGUGCGUAGGCGGCUUUUUAAGUCAGGGGUGAAAGACGGCAGCUCAACUGUCGCAGUGCCUUUGAUACUGAAGAGCUUGAAUGUGGCUGAAGAUGGCGGAAUGAGACAAGUAGCGGUGAAAUGCAUAGAUAUGUCUCAGAACACCGAUUGCGAAGGCAGCUGUCUAAGCGGUCAUUGACGCUGAUGCACGAAAGCGUGGGGAUCAAACAGG
rnacentral:rRNA from 1 species